UACGUAGGGUGCAGGCGUUAAUCGGAAUUACUGGGCGUAAAGCGUGCGCAGGCGGUUUGCUAAGAGAGAUGUGAAAUCCCCGGGCUUAACCUGGGAACUGCGUUUCUAACUGGCAGGCUCGAGUGUGGCAGAGGGGGGUGGAAUUCCACGUGUAGCAGUGAAAUGCGUAGAGAUGUGGAGGAACACCGAUGGCGAAGGCAGCCCCCUGGGCUAACACUGACGCUCAUGCACGAAAGCGUGGGGAGCAAACAGG
rnacentral:rRNA from 1 species